AAUCAACGCUGGCGGCGUGCCUCAGACAUGCAAGUCGAACGAUUAAAGCUCUCUUCGGAGAGUGCAUAGAGUGGCGCACGGGUGAGUAACACGUAAGUAAUCUACCUUCGAGUGGGGAAUAACGUCCGGAAACGGACGCUAAUACCGCAUAAUGCAGCGGCAUCGCAAGAUGACAGUUGUUAAAGAUUUAUCGCUUGAAGAGGAGCUUGCGGCAGAUUAGCUAGUUGGUAAGGUAAUGGCUUACCAAGGCUACGAUCUGUAACCGGUCUUAGAGGACGGUCGGUCACACUGACACUGAAUAACGGGUCAGACUCCUACGGGAGGCAGCAGUCGGGAAUUUUGGGCAAUGGGCGAAAGCCUGACCCAGCAACGCCGCGUGAAGGAUGAAGUAUUUCGGUAUGUAAACUUCGAAAGAAUGGGAAGAAUAAAUGACGGUACCAUUUAUAAGGUCCGGCUAACUACGUGCCAGCAGCCGCCGUAAGAC
rnacentral:rRNA from 1 species